rnacentral:rRNA from 1 species
GGCGGACGGGUGAGUAAGGCCUAGGAAUCUGCCUGGUAGUGGGGGAUAACGUCCGGAAACGGGCGCUAAUACCGCAUACGUCCUGAGGGAGAAAGUGGGGGAUCUUCGGACCUCACGCUAUCAGAUGAGCCUAGGUCGGAUUAGCUAGUUGGUGGGGUAAAGGCCUACCAAGGCGACGAUCCGUAACUGGUCUGAGAGGAUGAUCAGUCACACUGGAACUGAGACACGGUCCAGACUCCUACGGGAGGCAGCAGUGGGGAAUAUUGGACAAUGGGCGAAAGCCUGAUCCAGCCAUGCCGCGUGUGUGAAGAAGGUCUUCGGAUUGUAAAGCACUUUAAGUUGGGAGGAAGGGCAGUAAGUUAAUACCUUGCUGUUUUGACGUUACCAACAGAAUAAGCACCGGCUAACUUCGUGCCAGCAGCCGCGGUAAUACGAAGGGUGCAAGCGUUAAUCGGAAUUACUGGGCGUAAAGCGCGCGUAGGUGGUUCAGCAAGUUGGAUGUGAAAUCCCCGGGCUCAACCUGGGAACUGCAUCCAAAACUACUGAGCUAGAGUACGGUAGAGGGUGGUGGAAUUUCCUGUGUAGCGGUGAAAUGCGUAGAUAUAGGAAGGAACACCAGUGGCGAAGGCGACCACCUGGACUGAUACUGACACUGAGGUGCGAAAGCGUGGGGAGCAAACAGGAUUGGAUANCCUGGUAGUCCACGCCGUAAACGAUGUCGACU